UAUAUAUAAAAUAUAUAUAAUAUAUAUAUCCAUCAAUAAUUAUUAAUUCAGGCACUUUGCUGUGUUGUAGGCCAGCAAAACGAAGUUUCAAUAUUUCCAGCUUUCAGUUUAAUGAGAAUGAGAGAUUAUUAUGUAUAGAAAAUAUUACAUAGUGCCUACUGAGUCCUUUCUGCAGACUGGGCACUUUGAAAAAGCAUCGAACAUGCAUAACUCAUUAUUCUGUGGAUGAGGAAACUAGGGCACAGAAAGAUAAGACCUGGUACAGGUCACUCAGGAAGUAGCAGAGCUGUGAUCCAAAGCCAGUCGGAGUGGCUGCACAGGGGCUGUUCCCAGCCGCUUCUCUGCUCUGCCUUCAUUGUGACCAUCCGAAGUGUGGUGCAGAUUUUCAGAUAAAGAAACUGAGGCACGGAGUACAAAAAGACUUGCUCAGCAUAAAUAG
rnacentral:lncRNA from 1 species